GUUAAGCGACUAAGCGUACACGGUGGAUGCCCUGGCAGUCAGAGGCGAUGAAGGACGUGCUAAUCUGCGAUAAGCGUCGGUAAGGUGAUAUGAACCGUUAUAACCGGCGAUUUCCGAAUGGGGAAACCCAGUGUGUUUCGACACACUAUCAUUAACUGAAUCCAUAGGUUAAUGAGGCGAACCGGGGGAACUGAAACAUCUAAGUACCCCGAGGAAAAGAAAUCAACCGAGAUUCCCCCAGUAGCGGCGAGCGAACGGGGAGCAGCCCAGAGCCUGAAUCAGUGUGUGUGUUAGUGGAAGCGUCUGGAAAGGCGCGCGAUACAGGGUGACAGCCCCGUACACAAAAAUGCACAUGCUGUGAGCUCGAUGAGUAGGGCGGGACACGUGGUAUCCUGUCUGAAUAUGGGGGGACCAUCCUCCAAGGCUAAAUACUCCUGACUGACCGAUAGUGAACCAGUACCGUGAGGGAAAGGCGAAAAGAACCCCGGCGAGGGGAGUGAAAAAGAACCUGAAACCGUGUACGUACAAGCAGUGGGAGCCUCUUUAUGGGGUGACUGCGUACCUUUUGUAUAAUGGGUCAGCGACUUAUAUUCUGUAGCAAGGUUAACCGAAUAGGGGAGCCGAAGGGAAACCGAGUCUUAACUGGGCGUUAAGUUGCAGGGUAUAGACCCGAAACCCGGUGAUCUAGCCAUGGGCAGGUUGAAGGUUGGGUAACACUAACUGGAGGACCGAACCGACUAAUGUUGAAAAAUUAGCGGAUGACUUGUGGCUGGGGGGGAAAGGCCAAUCAAACCGGGAGAUAGCUGGUUCUCCCCGAAAGCUAUUUAGGUAGCGCCUCGUGAAUUCAUCUCCGGGGGUAGAGCACUGUUUCGGCAAGGGGGUCAUCCCGACUUACCAACCCGAUGCAAACUGCGAAUACCGGAGAAUGUUAUCACGGGAGACACACGGCGGGUGCUAACGUCCGUCGUGAAGAGGGAAACAACCCAGACCGCCAGCUAAGGUCCCAAAGUCAUGGUUAAGUGGGAAACGAUGUGGGAAGGCCCAGACAGCCAGGAUGUUGGCUUAGAAGCAGCCAUCAUUUAAAGAAAGCGUAAUAGCUCACUGGUCGAGUCGGCCUGCGCGGAAGAUGUAACGGGGCUAAACCAUGCACCGAAGCUGCGGCAGCGACACUAUGUGUUGUUGGGUAGGGGAGCGUUCUGUAAGCCUGUGAAGGUGUGCUGUGAGGCAUGCUGGAGGUAUCAGAAGUGCGAAUGCUGACAUAAGUAACGAUAAAGCGGGUGAAAAGCCCGCUCGCCGGAAGACCAAGGGUUCCUGUCCAACGUUAAUCGGGGCAGGGUGAGUCGACCCCUAAGGCGAGGCCGAAAGGCGUAGUCGAUGGGAAACAGGUUAAUAUUCCUGUACUUGGUGUUACUGCGAAGGGGGGACGGAGAAGGCUAUGUUGGCCGGGCGACGGUUGUCCCGGUUUAAGCGUGUAGGCUGGUUUUCCAGGCAAAUCCGGAAAAUCAAGGCUGAGGCGUGAUGACGAGGCACUACGGUGCUGAAGCAACAAAUGCCCUGCUUCCAGGAAAAGCCUCUAAGCAUCAGGUAACAUCAAAUCGUACCCCAAACCGACACAGGUGGUCAGGUAGAGAAUACCAAGGCGCUUGAGAGAACUCGGGUGAAGGAACUAGGCAAAAUGGUGCCGUAACUUCGGGAGAAGGCACGCUGAUACGUAGGUGAAGCGACUUGCUCGUGGAGCUGAAAUCAGUCGAAGAUACCAGCUGGCUGCAACUGUUUAUUAAAAACACAGCACUGUGCAAACACGAAAGUGGACGUAUACGGUGUGACGCCUGCCCGGUGCCGGAAGGUUAAUUGAUGGGGUCAGCCGCAAGGCGAAGCUCUUGAUCGAAGCCCCGGUAAACGGCGGCCGUAACUAUAACGGUCCUAAGGUAGCGAAAUUCCUUGUCGGGUAAGUUCCGACCUGCACGAAUGGCGUAAUGAUGGCCAGGCUGUCUCCACCCGAGACUCAGUGAAAUUGAACUCGCUGUGAAGAUGCAGUGUACCCGCGGCAAGACGGAAAGACCCCGUGAACCUUUACUAUAGCUUGACACUGAACAUUGAGCCUUGAUGUGUAGGAUAGGUGGGAGGCUUUGAAGCGUGGACGCCAGUCUGCGUGGAGCCGACCUUGAAAUACCACCCUUUAAUGUUUGAUGUUCUAACGUGGACCCGUGAUCCGGGUUGCGGACAGUGUCUGGUGGGUAGUUUGACUGGGGCGGUCUCCUCCUAAAGAGUAACGGAGGAGCACGAAGGUUGGCUAAUCCUGGUCGGACAUCAGGAGGUUAGUGCAAUGGCAUAAGCCAGCUUGACUGCGAGCGUGACGGCGCGAGCAGGUGCGAAAGCAGGUCAUAGUGAUCCGGUGGUUCUGAAUGGAAGGGCCAUCGCUCAACGGAUAAAAGGUACUCCGGGGAUAACAGGCUGAUACCGCCCAAGAGUUCAUAUCGACGGCGGUGUUUGGCACCUCGAUGUCGGCUCAUCACAUCCUGGGGCUGAAGUAGGUCCCAAGGGUAUGGCUGUUCGCCAUUUAAAGUGGUACGCGAGCUGGGUUUAGAACGUCGUGAGACAGUUCGGUCCCUAUCUGCCGUGGGCGCUGGAGAACUGAGGGGGGCUGCUCCUAGUACGAGAGGACCGGAGUGGACGCAUCACUGGUGUUCGGGUUGUCAUGCCAAUGGCACUGCCCGGUAGCUAAAUGCGGAAGAGAUAAGUGCUGAAAGCAUCUAAGCACGAAACUUGCCCCGAGAUGAGUUCUCCCU
rnacentral:rRNA from 1 species